rnacentral:rRNA from 1 species
UAGGGAAUCUUCGGCAAUGGACGAAAGUCUGACCGAGCAACGCCGCGUGAGUGAAGAAGGUUUUCGGAUCGUAAAACUCUGUUGUUAGAGAAGAACAAGGACGUUAGUAACUGAACGUCCCCUGACGGUAUCUAACCAGAAAGCCACGGCUAACUACGUGCCAGCAGCCGCGGUAAUACGUAGGUGGCAAGCGUUGUCCGGAUUUAUUGGGCGUAAAGCGAGCGCAGGCGGUUUCUUAAGUCUGAUGUGAAAGCCCCCGGCUCAACCGGGGAGGGUCAUUGGGAACUGGGAGACUUGAGUGCAGAAGAGGAGAGUGGAAUUCCAUGUGUAGCGGUGAAAUGCGUAGAUAUAUGGAGGAACACCAGUGGCGAAGGCGGCUCUCUGGUCUGGAACUGACGCUGAGGCACGAAAGCGUGGGGAGCAAACAGG